rnacentral:rRNA from 1 species
CGGGGGGAGCAAGCGUUGUUCGGAUUUACUGGGCGUAAAGGGCGCGUAGGCGGCCACCGCAAGUCGACUGUGAAAUCUCCGGGCUUAACCCGGAACGGUCAGCCGAUACUGCGGGGCUAGAGUGCAGAAGGGGCAACUGGAAUUCUCGGUGUGGCGGUGAAAUGCGUAGAUAUCGAGAGGAACACCUGCGGCGAAGGCGGGUUGCUGGGCUGACACUGACGCUGAUGCGCGAAAGCUAGGGGAGCGAACGGGAUUAGAUACCCCGGUAGUCCUAGCCUUAAACGAUGAAUGCUUGGUGUCUGGGGUUCUAUAGUCCCCGGGUGCCGUCGCUAACGCUUUAAGCAUUCCGCCUGGGGAGUACGGUCGCAAGACUG